rnacentral:lncRNA from 10 species
AAAAAACAAAGACAAUCUCAGAUGUGCAGUUCACACCCUGGGGCUCUCCGUGGGAUCAGGCUGAGGGUCGCAUUUAACUGAAAUCUUCAGGAGUUCAGCGUCGGGGUAGAUAUUCCCUGAGAAGCAGCUGAGAGAGUCUUGCUCUGUUGCUCAGGCUGGACUGCAAUGGCGUGAUCUUGGCUCACCGCAACCUCCACCUCCUGGGUUCAAGCGAUUCUCCUGCCUCAGCCUCCCGAGUAGCUGGGAUUACAGGUG